rnacentral:rRNA from 1 species
AACGAACGCUGGCGGCAUGCCUAACACAUGCAAGUCGAACGAGACCUUCGGGUCUAGUGGCGCACGGGUGCGUAACGCGUGGGAAUCUGCCCUUUGCUUCGGAAUAACAGUUAGAAAUGACUGCUAAUACCGGAUGAUGUCUUCGGACCAAAGAUUUAUCGGCAAAGGAUGAGCCCGCGUAGGAUUAGGUAGUUGGUGGGGUAAAGGCCUACCAAGCCGACGAUCCUUAGCUGGUCUGAGAGGAUGAUCAGCCACACUGGGACUGAGACACGGCCCAGACUCCUACGGGAGGCAGCAGUGGGAAUAUUGGACAAUGGGCGAAAGCCUGAUCCAGCAAUGCCGCGUGAGUGAUGAAGGCCUUAGGUUGUAAAGCUCUUUUACCCGGGAUGAUAAUGACAGUACCGGGAGAAUAAGCUCCGGCUAACUCCGUGCCAGCAGCCGCGGUAAUGU